GAUGCGCGCGGAGCAAAAAUUGAAAUAAAGGCGGCGAGCCGACGUGGAGGAAAGAGCAGCCGGCGGUUGUUGUGAGUCACGUGACGCAGGGAGAGACGUCUGUUCGACUGGUCGUCUAAGACGCGGUAAAGAGGUGACACCCAACCCCCCCCCCCUGAAAGACGGCACCGGCUGAAUUGAAGUGUUGGGUCAUUACUGUCAUUCUUACAUGAGGACAUCAUUGUGUGUCCUCCCGACAGAGCGUCCUUUAUCAAACACAUGAUCUGUGUAGGCCUCAAUUAUCAGCUCCGAAAGGUUCAUCCAUCACACACAACAGCGUAAGACACACACGUAGAACACAGUCAUUGUGGCCGUUUGCACAACGCUAUAAGGACUCUUUCCACCUUGUUUGUUGGUUCCGAUGAAACGAUGGCCAGUAGGUUACGUGUGUUGAAGUAGAGAAAGAACUGCAGGCAAAAAGGGCCGAACGAAACAAGCGUCACACUAAACACAAAAAUCUGUCCCUUGAGCAUCAGAUCGACCGGCUUGGGAGCAGCUUCCAAGAAUCAUCUCUCCCAGAAAACAGCAGACAUAGAAACAUUUCUUUACCAUCAUGUAUGAAGACGUUUCGUGUUUCUUUGACCUUUUUAACCCUCAGAGCCCCACAGACCCAACAGGUCCAACUGAAAUGUUCACAGUGUCUUUAACUAAUAUACUAGUGCCGCCUUAUUUAGACGCUACGACAACCAGAGAAGCGCUUGAAGCUCUUUUUCUCUCCUACAGCACAUUAUUUUCUGAUGGCUUGGUCUUGAAUUCGUCGUGACGUUUCUCCAGCUUUGUUAAAUUGAUCGAAUACCACAUGACCCUCCGUCCCUGCUCGUGUUGCCUCCUGCACUCAAAUGUGAUCCAAGACCUUUCAGCUUUCUGUUCCCGUGUCUCUGUGCUUUUACUGGCCGGUUCCUCUCACCAGACCAGAGGACUAUAAAUACGACCCCUCAAUGCCCACAUCCCCGCCCCGAAAAUAGACCCGCGGCACCUACCCGGCUCCCACACACACCCUGAAGCACCCUGGGGACGACGCGCCGCUGGCUAACCUCAGGGCUCCGGAGAACUGGAC
ensembl:lncRNA